rnacentral:tRNA from 1 species
GUUGUGGCUCAGUGGUAGAGUGUUUGCCUAGCACAUGUGAGGCACUGGGUUCUAUUCUCAGCAUUACA